rnacentral:rRNA from 1 species
UGGGGAAUAUUGCACAUUGGAGGGAACUCUGAUGCAGCGACGCCGCGUGAACGAAGAAGGCUUUCGAGUCGUAAAGUUCUUUUAUAUGGGAAGAUAAUGACGGUACCAUAAGAAAAAGCCCCGGCUAACUACGUGCCAGCAGCCGCGGUAAUACGUAGGGGGCUAGCGUUGUCCGGAAUCACUGGGCGUAAAGGGUUCGCAGGCGGAAAUGCAAGUCAGGUGUAAAAGGCAGUAGCUUAACUACUGUAAGCAUUUGAAACUGCAUAUCUUGAGAAGAGUAGAGGUAAGUGGAAUUUUUAGUGUAGCGGUGAAAUGCGUAGAUAUUAAAAAGAAUACCGGUGGCGAAGGCGACUUACUGGGCUCAUUCUGACGCUGAGGAACGAAAGCGUGGGUAGCAAACAGG